rnacentral:rRNA from 1 species
AUUGAACGCUGGCGGCAUGCUCUACACAUGCAAGUCGAACGGCAGCGCGGGGCUACCUGGCGGCGAGUGGCGAACGGGUGAGUAAUACAUCGGAACGUACCCAGAAGUGGGGGAUAACGUAGCGAAAGUUACGCUAAUACCGCAUACGUUCUACGGAAGAAAGUGGGGGAUCUUCGGACCUCAUGCUUUUGGAGCGGCCGAUGUCCGAUUAGCUAGUUGGUGAGGUAAAGGCUCACCAAGGCGACGAUCAGUAGCUGGUCUGAGAGGACGACCAGCCACACUGGGACUGAGACACGGCCCAGACUCCUACGGGAGGCAGCAGUGGGGAAUUUUGGACAAUGGGCGCAAGCCUGAUCCAGCAAUGCCGCGUGAGUGAAGAAGGCCUUCGGGUUGUAAAGCUCUUUUGUCAGGGAAGAAACGGCCGAGGCUAAUACCUUUGGCUAAUGACGGUACCUGAAGAAUAAGCACCGGCUAACUACGUGCCAGCCGCCGCCGUAACAC